rnacentral:siRNA from 1 species
CAUAAAUCGGGCUCUAUCUGG